UUGAUGUUGCUGCUGCUGCUGCUGCAUAAUAGGAUCAAGAAAUGAAUUGCUUUCCGUGCUUCCAAUCACAGAAAAGCAGGAAAUCGCUUGCCAAGAGAGAGAAUGGAUCGUCUGCUAGUCAUAGCACUGACACCAAAUCCGUUGAAUCUAGGAGGCAAAAACCGGGAGAUGAAAACAGAAAAGGGGAAGCUAACCAAGUAGACACUGAAAAUAUUGCAGCACAAGCAUUGACCUUUCGUGAGGUAGCUACUGCAACAAAAAACUUCCGUCAGGAAUGUUUGUUGGGUGAAGGUGGAUUUGGAAAAGUUUUUAAAGGGACACUAGCUUCAACUGGGCAGGUAGUGGCUGUAAAGCAGCUUGACAGGAGUGGACUGCAAGGGAACAAGGAAUUCCUAGUUGAGGUUCUGAUGCUAAGUCUUCUACACCAUCCAAAUCUUGUUGAUCUUGUCGGGUAUUGUGCUGAUGGGGAUCAGCGGUUUUUGGUUUAUAACUUCAUUUCAGGAGGUUCUUUACAAGAUCAUCUCCUUGAUGUAUCACCAGAAAAAAAGACACUAGAUUGGUUUACCAGAAUGAAAAUAGCAUUUGGUGCUGCUAAAGGCCUAGAGUACCUGCAUGAUAAGGCCAAUCCUCCUGUUAUAUUUGGCGAUUUGAAACCCACAAACAUCUUGUUGGAUGAAGAUUUUAUCCCAAAGCUAUCAGAUUUUGGACUUCUUACGCUUGGCCCUGCUGGGGACAAGAUGAAUAUACCAGGAUCAAGGUUGAUGGGAACCUAUGGUUAUAGUUCUCCAGAAUAUUCGAGAGGAGGUGAAUUGACAUUGAAAUCAGAUGUAUACAGUUUUGGAGUUAUUUUACUAGAGCUCAUCACUGGAAGAAGAGCUAUAGACACCACAAAACCAAUCGAUGAGCAAAAUCUAGUUGCUUGGGCACAACCCAUAUUCCGGGACCCAAAAAGAUUUCCUGAUAUGGCAGAUCCAGUUCUUAACAAGCAAUUUCCAGAAAAAGAUUUGAAUCAGGCAGUUGCAAUAGCAGCAAUGUGUCUGCAAGAGGAAUCAGCAGCCCGUCCCCUGAUGAGUGAUGUUGUAACGGCUUUAAGUUUCCUUUCAGUGGCCAAUGAUGACAGCAACCCUUCUGCUCCAGCCCCUUCAAUCCCACCUUCAGAGUAAAUUAGUCAUGACCCAACAGAAACAUGAAGCUGAUGUCUGUUGAUAGCUCAGAAUCAAGUGAUGAGGAUAGAGACAGUGGUGAUAGUAAAGAUAGCAGAAAAUGAAGCAAGAACAGCAGAAGAUCAAUGGAAGAGAGUGUUUCUUCAAGCCACAAGAGCAGCAAGAAAAUGCGGGAUAAAGAUGCUUCUCUAAGCUGCAAGAACGGCAGUUGAUCACAUUAUGAAAGUGCUUCUUUAUGUCACAAUAGCAGGAGGGAGUCACAGUAUCUUAAUGCCUCUAGCAACAAGAGCAGCAGGGAAUCUAACGAGGGAAGUGUUUCUGCAAGCAAGAAUAGCAGCAGCAACAUUGAUUCACAUGAUGGAACUGUAUCAUUAAGUCAUAGGAGUGUUUCUGGUGAAGAUUGUUAACAUUUCAUCUGUCUAUAACAGCAGCAGGGAGUCACAAAAUAGAAUUGUUCUUUUUUAGAUCACAUUAACAUAAGGAGAUCAGACGAUGAAUUUUGUAUUCAUCAAGAAGAUCUUAAUCUGAUCACCAGCAUCAUUCUGCACACAAAAUUUGCGUGGCUAGCAUAAUUCUUAGCUUUUUCCAGAAAUAUAUCUCCAUUAAGAUCCUUUUCUCUUAGUUUUU
rnacentral:misc_RNA from 1 species